UGGGGAAUAUUGCGCAAUGGGGGGAACCCUGACGCAGCGACGCCGCGUGAAGGAAGAAGGCCUUCGGGUUGUAAACUUCUUUGAUUGGGGAAGAAAAAUGACGGUACCCAAAGAACAAGCCACGGCUAACUACGUGCCAGCAGCCGCGGUAAUACGUAGGUGGCGAGCGUUAUCCGGAAUUACUGGGUGUAAAGGGCGUGUAGGCGGGGAUGCAAGUCAGAUGUGAAAUUCCGGGGCUCAACCUCGGCACUGCAUCUGAAACUGUGUCUCUUGAGUGCUGGAGAGGAAAGUGGAAUUCCUAGUGUAGCGGUGAAAUGCGUAGAGAUUAGGAGGAACACCAGUGGCGAAGGCGACUUUCUGGACAGCAACUGACGCUGAGGCGCGAGAGCGUGGGGAGCAAACAGG
rnacentral:rRNA from 1 species